AAUGGGCUGCGGGAGCACAGAUGAUAGAUGGUAUUGAUUGUCAAACAAGUUAUUAUAUUCACAUAGAUAGAUGUUCAACAAUUAGAAAACAGAUGCAGGAAUUUAACUUUAUUUUCUUCAAUGAAGGAUUUUAUGGAUUUUCGACUUUUUCCUUUUAUCACCAACUUCUUCAAAUAGCCUGGAAGCUCGUUAUAGAUUUUUGGUAGAAAGCAAGAUGAUGAAUGAAUCGACAAAAAUUUAGUUCUUGGUUGAUCUGCUAUGGUUGGGGAAAAUGUCAUGAAAUUUGUUUUAUUAUAAUUCAAGCUGAGCUUACUCCCUGUCAGCCAUCGACACACAUCACCAAGACCAUGCUCCGUUCGCACAUAUACUUCACUCCAAGUAUCAGCCGAGAACAAGAGGACUGUAUCAUCCGCAUAUGAAAUGACCUUACAUUCUCUUAUUAGGUUCCCAAUUUCAUUAACAUAAACAAGGAACAGCAAAGGGCCUAAGACCGUUCCUUGUGGGACUCCAGUGUUAAUGGCGGCAUAAUCGCUGUAAACAUUAUUUAUUUGUACUCUUUGCUUUCGGUCAGUUAGAUAGUUUUUCAAAAGAAGCAGUGGAGAUCCCCGUAUACCCAAAUUCUCCAGUCUCUCAAAUAGUAUUUCAUGUUUCACCGAGUCAAACGCCUUAGAUAAAUCAAAAAAGAACGCUAAAGUUUUUUUACUGUUACUAUGCUGUUUGUAAAUACUACUGAUAAAUUCAAAAAUUGCAUCUUCCGUAGACAUAUUUUUUCUAAAUCCAAAUUGACAGUUAGUUAAAAUUUUGUUUUUUUCAAAAACAUUUUCAAUUCGCAUCUUUAUACACUUUUUGAACCCUUUGGCAAAGUUAUUAAUUAAUGAUAUGGGCCUAUAAUUUGUUGGUAGACAUUUAUCUCCUGACUUAAAAACUGGCGUAACUAUGGAAACCUCCCAUGCAUCUGGAAUUGAGUUCGAUUCUAUACAUUUAUUAUAUAUAUGGAGCAAUGGACUUAUUAACAUUUUAUGAUAACGCUGAAUUAUAUCUGCAGUAACUCCAUCAUCUCCAGGAGAUGACCGAGGUUUAAGAGAUCUUAUAUGCAGGAUCAAUUCAUUUUCAGUAA